rnacentral:rRNA from 1 species
AGAGUUUGAUCAUGGCUCAGGAUGAACGCUAGCUACAGGCUUAACACAUGCAAGUCGAGGGGCAGCAUGUUGGUUGCUUGCAACCAAUGAUGGCGACCGGCGCACGGGUGAGUAACGCGUAUCCAACCUACCCUUGUCCAUCGGAUAACCCGUCGAAAGGCGGCCUAACACGAUAUGCGGUUCUCAGCAGGCAUCUAACGAGAACGAAAUGUGAAGGAGAAGGAUGGGGAUGCGUCUGAUUAGCUUGUUGGCGGGUAACGGCCACAAGGCGGCGAUCAGUAGGGGUUCUGAGAGGAAGGUCCCCACAUUGGAACUGAGACACGGUCCAACGUCCUACGGAGGCA